rnacentral:rRNA from 1 species
UGGGGAAUAUUGGACAAUGGGCGAAAGCCUGAUCCAGCAAUACCGCGUGUGUGAAGAAGGCCUGAGGGUUGUAAAGCACUUUCAAUUGGGAGGAAUACCUAUCGGUUAAUAACCGGUAGACUGACAUUACCUUUAGAAGAAGCACCGGCUAACUCCGUGCCAGCAGCCGCGGUAAUACGGAGGGUGCAAGCGUUAAUCGGAAUUACUGGGCGUAAAGCGUACGUAGGCGGUUGAUUAAGUUAGAUGUGAAAGCCCCGGGCUUAACCUGGGAACUGCAUUUAAUACUGGUCGACUAGAGUUGAGUAGAGGGAAGUGGAAUUUCAGGUGUAGCAGUGAAAUGCGUAGAGAUCUGAAGGAACACCAGUGGCGAAGGCGGCUUCCUGGACUCAAACUGACGCUGAGGUACGAAAGCGUGGGUAGCAAACG